GUGCCGCGGUGUCUCAGACGUGCCACAGAUACGCUUUUGUGAUUUUUUCGAAUCCCCUCAGUCGCACUCGCCGGAAAAUAUUCUUCCGCUUUGAUCGGGACGUCAAAUCCUUCCAAAAAAAUUCGUUUUCUCCUCUCGGAAGCGCGCUUUUUUCAGUUUCAUUUCGAAUUACCUUCAGUGCAGUGAAAAAUAAGUCGAGCGAGCAGCAACGAGAACAAAGCCGCCUCGGCAAUAAUCGUGCCUUCGUCAACGCACUCGCGCGGUCUUACGCAACGGAUGUGACGGAAGAAGAAACGAGAAAAAAAUCAACGGCACAAAGGACUGGUGGGUGGUCGGGUAGAAGCGUGUGUGCUCGCAGCAAACACGGUGACUUGAAAAAAAACCGCCCGGAGGUAACUUCGCGUGCGUCAUCUCGAUGGCACAUCUCCGCUUGCGCCAGGGAUGCAGAGGGGGCUUCGUGAUCGAGAAGUAAAGAAUUGAGCUCGCGACGCCUCGUGGGCAUUGCUAAAGGCUUCGCUCCGAGCCUCGAGGUCCUGGGAUGCAUCGCUUAUGGGCUGGGAAUCCUCCUGCUCGACCCCAGGAGUGACCCAGUUUGCGUAGUCGGCCCCAUGUACAGACACCUGCGUCACCCAUGACUGCGCUACGUCGAGGCCGAACGAGGGGUGCCCGGAGAAUAUUCUUCGCGCCCUCUUCCCCUCCCCUCGCCCACAUCCCUCUCGAAAUUCAUCCAUCGAACACAACCGUUGAGAAAUCCGACAUUCGAUUUAUGGUGAUUUUUUUUUGGUGUCGAAACUUUCGCUCUUGUCGUUAAAUUUUGACAGAAUCGUCGGUUCUCUGCUCCGCAAAAGAUAAACGAAACAGAAAAAAAGUGGGGCUCAUCAUUUUUUAACUUUUCCUCGAGUUUUCUUCCCAGAAAAUAUUCAAGGAGGGUGGAUCGCGAAAUAAAAAUAAUCAGAAUUUCAUCAAGUUUCGUGAUAUUCUUUGGCAUCAAGUAUACGAAUACAGUUUUUUUCAAAUUUUUUUACCACCUGGUUGUCGCAUAAUUGAACGUUAAAUCCAAGUUUUAUGCACGAGAUGUAUAACUGUAUAUGUGCAAACUCUAUGCUUGUACACGUGAACUUUUGUGUUCGAUUACUCGAGAGCUACGUGGUAGAAAAAUCUAAAAAAACUUACAUUGUUUUAUAUAUUUAAAAAUAAUAAAUUUACCAAAUUUGAUGAAAUUCUUUAUAUUUUCAAUCCUCGUGUUCCUGAUCUUUGGAUCGACUAUUGACAGAAAUCGUUUCAAUUAUUGUCGGUUCUCCGACCAUUCGGAUGUCGGAAAAGAGAUUUUUCGAACCCUGGAAUUUUCGGUUUGACGGAUAAUCUGGACGUCAACUUGUAGGAAAACGAGGAGAAAAUAUGACUAUUUCUCCUCGUGCAUGUGCACGAUACAAGGGGCAGGAAGAAAGGGGUGAAAGUAGAACCGGGCGAGCAAUCCGGGAACCAGGGGAAGGUCAAAUCAGAUUGAAUCUAGGCCCGGUGUCGCUGAAUGUGGGUCACCUCUGGAGCAUAUAUAGGCGUGCGGGAACAACGAGAGUGAAGUCAAGUGCUGCCCUCUACCCAUAAAAGUGCUUAAUCCAAGCACCCUCCCGCUUUCGAUUAUCGAACAAAUGUUAACGUGACAAAAGAGGAGAAACAACCAUCGACAUUCGUCGAACUCGUAGGCAGUUUGCAAGUCGAAUUCGGGUUUUUAUUGAAACAGAAAUUCCUCUAUUUUAUGGGCAUUCGAAUACUUGGAAGCUCGCGCGGUUCGGGGAUGAGAACGCGCUUCGGGCGAUCCAAUCUGAAGUCGGAUCUUCCUGCCUCCUGAUUUUCCUGGAUGUCGAAUAUUUAUUCCAGUAAUUUGCGUUUUUAGUGAAUUUUCAGAAGCAAACUUGAUCAAGUUUACAAAAUUUCGUUGUUCGCCAUAACGAACUUCCGAACGAAUAACUGGAAGACAAGAAACGAAUUAUGACAACAGCCUUUUUAGCUUGCGUCGUGUUUAGCAUUAUUUGCCAGUUUUUCUCGGAGAUCCGAGAAUCGUGACUGUUGCAUGCCCGCUUCAUGCCGUGACAUUGAGGCCUUGGUUGCAUGCUCCGCUGCUUCUCGGGACUCUGUUAUUUUGUGUGCGUGUAAAAACACGUGUUGCUCGCGACACUUGUCUUCUCCGGUCUGCCGACGGUAAAAGUGCGCUCAUAGAGACGCGCCUUGGAGGCAAUAUUCUGUGCCCUUUUUUUAGCCUUUUUCCUCUCUCUCUCACUAGCACUCUCCAUUCAUAAUCGUUUUGUAAUAAUCCACGAGCUCAUCCAAGUUUAUUCAUUUUUCUCCGGAAGCGUUUGAUUUUCGUGGAAAAGAAAGUUCCGCGUUGGAAUUUUUUCCACUUAAAUGUUGUGCGUAACUUUUAUUUUUCCUGGAAUAUCGAAACUUUUCUGGGAAAUAUUGGAAUCGGCUGGCUUAGCCAUCGUGCCGCGCUCUUGCGUACGACGCGAGCAGCUUGUGACUGAAAGACGGCUGUGAUGCAGAGCACAUUUUUAUCGGAAAUGCUCGAUUUUCCGGGAAAAAAGUCAAGUCUGAUUCUCCGACGAAAGGAGGAACUUUUAUUUCAUACUCAACGUCGACCUUUUUAAUUACGCAUUAUUAAUUGAUUUUUUUUUCUUCGAGUAUAAAUUCUCCGGGUAAAAGAAGUUUUACGUAAAGUUGUGGAUUCGCGUGCUCGAAAAAUUUAACAACCGCCUCGGACGUCACAAAAAAAGUAAUUUUUAAUGAUGAUUUGAAAAAUUAAUGCUUCAAUGUAAAUUCGCACGAAUUACAUAACCUCGACGAAGCUUUGUUGAGGAAUAACAUUGAAAUAACGAUCUGCAUGAAUCGUAAUGAAAAAUUCCCGAAACGGUCAAUUGGCGUUUUCGUCCGUUUUAAUUUGCUCGAAAAUUUGGAAUCGUUUUUUCCCGUUGUUUUAUUUCCGUUCUUCCCUUCGUACGACACUUCUGCUUUUUUUUUCUGGCGAAUUAAUAAGCUUGACAGGCGUUCGUUUGAUGUAUGACGCGUUUAGGAAAAGUGGGGAAAAAUCGAGGCGAAUUCGAUGCUCGGGUCGAUGGAGGCGGCAGCGAAGAGCGUGAAAGGGUUGCGCGCGGGGCCAUCAAGAGGACGUCACUGGCGGCGGGGCGGGAGGGGCGCGAGCGCUACGCAGGAGAGACGCGAGGGGGCAGCAGCGAAUUGGUUCUACAGCCGUUCCAGUCGAGCGCUACAAGCGCGGGAGCAUCGUUGCCUUGAACUGUGUAGUAAUCGCGUUGUAAUCGUGUUAACUACACGACAGUUCGAGCCUCGCUUAACGUCUUUCUCUAUUUUGUCGUUUUUCGUUUAUUGUUUAUUCCUCUUUUUGCGCCUUUGCAGGCUUGAAUCUCCAAGCGCGCGCGCACACACGAUACUCACUAUUUCUUCACGUCGGAAUCACUUCUAUCGCUCUUCAUUCUUCAUUUCGCUCUCCUUCUGUUCGAAACGAAUUCUCCCAUCCACAAUGAAAUCAUUGUUCUCGCGUUGUUCUACACGUUCCUCGUUCUCAUUUCGCACGACGUGAGAAUCACAGUGAUCUUUGUAUGUUCGCAUUUUAUUUAUUUUUCGAAUUCUCUAGUCGUGCCCAGUGACGUGAGUACUAUGCUAUAUUACUAUGUGUGUGUAUAUAUUUCCGGAAGAUUUUCAACAGCUCGGUGUGUUCCUUCUCGAGGUCAGAGGAUCAAAACAAUGUGGUAGCGCGCGCUUGCACAAUUAUCAGUGGUAACGGGGUGAACUUAAAUUUCCAACUCGUGCCAAUUAAAUAUCAAAAUUAGUCCGGGCGAGACGAGACUGGGCAAUUCUAACAUCGCGGCGCGGUCUCUCUUACGUGUGCAGACACCUAUCGGUGUUGGCUCGAAACUUUUGGCAUAGCUACCGAAAAAGAAACGGAGAUAUUCGCUCGCCUGCCUUGAAAAUUCGGGAACGUACAUUUGGCUGGGGCACGGAGAGGGCGCGAUCGUCGCAAUCGCUGUUUUUCUUUGUGGCCAUUUAUUCUCUUUGCGCCUCGGAAUAAAAAAGUGAAGAAAAAAAUAAUCGCUCGAUGGGAGCAAUGCUGAAAUCCUGCGAAUUUAAUUAGAGCAUCGAUUUCCCGAUCCCUCCUGAAGCAGAAUUCCCCGCGCGAAUGAGGUUAUAGAGAGCCUCCUCCCGAGUUGCCUCAUUGCCGCUCUUGGAAAUUGUUCCGAAAGGUCGUCCUUUAUCGACCUCGCUUCCUCCAGGCCCCGGUGCUCGAGUGCAAUUUCAACGCUGUACAGAAUUACGGAGAAAUAUGCGAAACACGGGGGGGGGGGGGUUGAGCCUAAAACGACGUCGACACUUGAUGGCACUGCAGUGGCGCUCACUUUCAGCAACUAAUUCUUCAUUGAAUUUUGAGCACAGCGGACACGCAGCGUGCGACGCUGCAGAAAUUUACGGUUCGAGGUUCAACCUUUUUCUUUUAUUUACAAAAUAACGCAACUAAAGUUCCUCCAUUUUUCGACGCGUACACGAAAUUCUUUCCUUCUACCAAUCGGUAUCUGCGCGUGCGGCAAAAUCACACGUACGGGAUGUCCCAAAAGUCACAUGGAAAAUCUUCACGAGAAAAGUCAUUUAAAAUUUUCCUACUCCAUGGACUUUUCCCUUUCGAAUCUCCGUGACUUAAAUUUAUGUUUUUCAAAAUCGAGAAUAAACUGAUGAAUGAAACACUGUCAGUAGUGUUCUGGAUGUAACCGGUAUUUGGAUGGGUGACAGAUUACCUGCGAGCCUACUGAGAAAAAAUAUAUUCGAACGAAGUCACGUUCAGUCGGACGAGGAGGCAAUAACGGACCGACAAUUUUUCGUGUCGGAAAACCGGAUUGAGUAUCUCUCCUAAAAACAGGAUUUCGAUCCCGGGCUUUCUUAACGCGACCAAGUUUUUCUCACACUGCGCGAUGAAAAUUUUCAAAUUUCAUUUCUGUCAACACUUUUUCGGGGUGCCUCACAAAAAUAUAAAAAUGACUAAAGUUCAUUGGAGGCUGGAUCGCGACGAUACAAUGUUGCCAUGCUAAACCACGUUAAAAAUAUAAACAAUUUCAUAAAAUUUGGUAAAUGUAUGUUUUUAAAUAAUAUAAGACAAUAGAAAUUUUUUUCGAUUUUUCUACCUCGUAGCUCUCGAGUAAUCGAACACUAAAGUUCCCGUGUAUAAGCACAGAGUUUACACACAUACAGUUACACAUCUCGUGCAUAAAACUUGGAUUUAACGCUCAAUUAUGCGAUAACCAUGUGGUAAAAGACACGUGAAAAAAAUUGUAUUUGUAAACUGGAUGCCAAAGUAUGUUAUCACGAAAUUUGAUGAAAUUCUGAUUAUUUUGAUUUGGUGAUCCACCCUCCUUAAAUAAUAAAUAUGAGCUUCUGACGAUCCUCGUA